rnacentral:rRNA from 1 species
GGUGUGGGUAGGGGAGAAAUUCCAAUCGAACCCGGAGAUAGCUGGUUCUCCUCGAAAUAGCUUUAGGGCUAGCCUCGAUGGAGUCUUACGGAGGUAGAGCACUGAAUUUCUAAGGGGGCGUCAAAGCUUACCAAGGGAUAUCAAACUCCGAAUGCCGUAAAGAUGCUCAUCGGGAGUCAGACUGCACGAGAUAAGUUGGGCAGUCAAAAGGGAAAGAGCCCAGACCUGCUGCUAAGGUCCCAAAGUACGUGUUAAGUGGAAAAGGAUGUGGGAUUUCGAAGACAACUAGGAUGUUGGCUCAGAAGCAGCCACACAUUCAAAGAGUGCGUAAUAGCUCACUAGUCGAGAGGUCCUGCGCCGAAAAUGUCCGGGGCUGAAACACAACACCGAAGCUUAGGAAUGUAGUAAUACAUUGGUAGAGGAGCAUUCUUAAAGGAAUGAAGCAGUACCGAUAAGGAGCUGUGGACUUUUAAGAAGAGAGAAUGCCGGAAUGAGUAGCGAGAUGGAGGUGGGAAUCCUCCAGGCCGAAUAUCCAAGGUUUCCAGAGUAAAGCUGAUCUGCUCUGGGUAAGUCGGGGCCUAAGGUAAGGCUGAGAAGCGUAGCCGAUGGACAACAGGUUGAGAUUCCUGUACCGCGUAUCAUCAGAACUGUGGGGACACAGAAGGACAGCACAUCCCGGGAAUGGAAAGACCGGGGCAAGCAGGGUAGGAGUUAAGCUGGCAAAUCCGCUUAACAAUCCGAAGCUGUGAUGCGGAGCGAAUUUAAGUAGCGAAGUGUGCGAUUCCGGCUGUCAAGAAAAGCCGCUAUUGUGUGAUACGUGCCCGUACCGUAAACCGACACAGGUAGAUGAGGAGAGAAUCCUAAGGCCGGCGGGAGAAGCAUUGUUAAGGAACUCGGCAAAAUGACCCUGUAACUUCGGGAGAAAGGGUGCCUGGGAAACCAGGCCGCAGAGAAUAGGCUCAAGCAACUGUUUAGCAAAAACACAGGUCUAUGCAAAACCGUAAGGUGAGGUAUAUGGGCUGACGCCUGCCCGGUGCUGGAAGGUUAAGAGGAGAGGUUAGCGCAAGCGAAGCUUUGAAUUUAAGCCCCAGUAAACGGCGGCCGUAACUAUAACGGUCCUAAGGUAGCGAAAUUCCUUGUCGGGUAAGUUCCGACCCGCACGAAAGGCGUAAUGAUUUGGGCACUGUCUCGACAAUGCAUCCGGUGAAAUUGAAGUACCAGUGAAGAUGCUGGUUACCUGCGCCAGGACGGAAAGACCCCAUGGAGCUUUACUCUAGCUUGAUACUGGGAUUCGAUAUUGUAUGUACAGGAUAGGUGGGAGACUAGGAAACGGGAACGCCAGUUUUCGUGGAGUCACCCUUGGGAUACCACCCUUGCAGUAUUGGGUUUCUAACAUGCAGCCGUUAUCCGGCUGGUGGACAAUGUCAGGUGGGGAGUUUGACUGGGGCGGUCGCCUCCGAAAGAGUAUCGGAGGCGCUCAAAGGUUCCCUCAGAAUGGUCGGAAACCAUUCGCAGAGUGCAAAGGCAUAAGGGAGCUUGACUGCGACACCGACGGGUGGAGCAGGUACGAAAGUAGGACUUAGUGAUCCGGUGGUAUAAAGUGGG